rnacentral:lncRNA from 1 species
CGGUAUGCAUGUCUAGGAUUGGAUCCGAAGGGAGCUUGGUACUUAAGCAGUCCGAUGGACUCACCACCUCUUUUCUGGUUUCCUACCUGGUGCACAGCUUCCAUUCACUUUAACCUAUAAUGAAAUUAUCUUUUAAAACACUAAGUAAGUUUUUUCUGGAUCAACAAUAUAAAAUGUUUUGAACGCUUCAAUGUGGCAUGUCGGAUCCGGUCAUAAUGUCUGGGCCGGGUUUAAGGUGUUACACUUAUUUCAUUUAUCUAUCUUCUUAAUUAUUUCAUACAAUUAUUUUGAACAUAUAUUUCUAUAUGACCAGUUCCUG